UUUUUACGUUGCUGUAAUGUGGACAGAGUUACUGGAGAGACACGUCAGUGACAUCUGCUGCCCAGCUGAGAGUGGAGGGGAAGGUAACCUACCCGAAGAGAUUUUCACUGACCCUGUCGUGUUUCUUUGUUGUACUGUGAAUGCCUGCAAGAAAAUGAAUCUCAGGGCAGUAGAGAGCGACAUAUACCUACUUCGCUAAGAAACUUACUUUGAUCUCUGAAUUUUGAAUCUGUUUGUCGCCUGUGGGAAACAUUUGCAGACAGGAUUUUGGAAGUCAUGUGGAACGCCUCCUUCUCAAACAAGGCUGAAUGUUCACUAACAAUCUGUACAAAGACUCAACAAGGACAAAGUUAAUGUGCUACCCAGUAUAUGUGAAUUUCUAUCUCGUUGUAGCUAUUUUUAGAAACAAACAACAAAGCGUUCAUGAAGGACAAUCAA